rnacentral:tRNA from 1 species
GGGCCGGUGGUCCAGCCUGGUAGGACGCCUCGCUCACGCCGAGGAGGUCCCCGGUUCGAGUCCGGGCCGGCCCACCA